GACGAACGCUGGCGGCGUGCUUAACACAUGCAAGUCGAACGGAAAGGCCCUGCUUUUGUUGGUUGCUCGAGUGGCGCACGGGUGAGUAACACGUGAGUAACCUCCCCUUGACUUUGGGAUAACUUCAGGAAACUGCGGCUAUUACCUGAUAGAAUCUCCUGCUGCAUGGUGGUGGUUGGAAAGUUUCGGCGGUUGUGGAUGGACUCGCGGCUUAUCAGCUUGUUUGUGUGGUAGUUACUUACCAAGGCUUUGACGGGUAGCCGGCCUGAGAGGGGUACCGGCGACAUGAGGACUAAGAGACGGAGCAGAAUCGUACGGGACGCAGAAGGGGGGAACAUGGCAGAAUGGGGGGAAGCGUGAUGCAGAAACGCCGGGAGCGGGAUGACGGCCUACGGGUGGAAAACAGAUGUCGAAUGAGAUGAAGAGGGAGUGACGGUAAUGGAUAAAGAAGCAACGGCUAACUACGUG
rnacentral:rRNA from 1 species